UACAGAGGUCUCAAGCGUUGUUCGGAUUCAUUGGGCGUAAAGGGUGUGUAGGUGGCGCCGUAAGUCGGGUGUGAAAUUUCGGAGCUUAACUCCGAAACUGCACUUGAUACUGCCUUGCUCGAGUACUGGAGAGGAGAUUGGAAUUUACGGUGUAGCAGUGAAAUGCGUAGAUAUCGUAAGGAAGACCAGUGGCGAAGGCGAAUCUCUGGACAGUUACUGACACUGAGGCACGGAAGGCCAGGGGAGCAAAACGGG
rnacentral:rRNA from 1 species